rnacentral:rRNA from 1 species
UACGAAGGGUGCAAACGUUGUUCGGAAUUACUGGGCGUAAAGGGCUCGUAGGCGGCCAACUAAGUCAGACGUGAAAUCCCUCGGCUUAACCGGGGAACUGCGUCUGAUACUGGAUGGCUUGAAUUCGGGAGAGGGAUGCAGAAUUCCAGGUGUAGCGGUGAAAUGCGUAGAUAUCUGGAGGAAUACCGGUGGCGAAGGCGGCAUCCUGGACCGACAUUGACGCUGAACGGCGAAAGCUAGGGGAGCAAACGGG